CAAAUUCCUUCAUUUUGUUUUUUCUGUUUUACCGUCUUCCCUCUUCUAUAUCUAUUUAUACCUACUUCCCUUCUUUAAACACAUAUAGUAAUACAACAUUCUCACUUCUUGAAUUGUUAUCUCUUCUUUUCUCUGGUUUACUCUGUGAUCAUCAAGUUCCAUCCUUCGGUGCCUUUCUGCCACAAUCUCUCUUUGGUUGCUUCUAUGUCCAAAAUCACGAAUGGUAUCAGAGCUCUUCCUUUGAAGAGCUCUGCUACGUAACUUUGGUUUCUUGCCUCGCUUCCUUUUUCUUUUCUUGUUCUUCUUCCAUUUCUUGUUUUCUUUUCUCUCUUCUAUACUAUCAUGACUAACCAAGCUGCCAAACCAAGCUAUUUAACUCUCCAUCUAAUUGAAUGGUCACUGCAUAGAAGCCUGUUACAAGAAACAUGGCUUUCCCUUGGUCAUAGAUUCAAUACCAAGUUAACAAUCCCAAUUCUCAAGAAGCUGUAUCCACAAACAAAGAUAAAGGUCCACCUUUUGAUGUUCUUGACAUAAAGCUCACUACCCAACAAUAUCAAAUUCUUGCAAAUCUUUUCAAGAAUAAUACUGAUAAUGGCUCACAACCCACUACAAAUCUUGUCGGGUCCACCGUUUUGCAAACCUAUUCGCCAAGCAAUAUCUCUCCUUUUCAAUCCCUUUAGCUUGUGGACUCUGGUGCCAUCGAUAAUAUCUUCACCUCAUUAACCUAUUUCUCAUCUUAUCAUAUCAUUAACCCCAUUUGUAUUGAUCUCCCCAAUGGUAACCAUGUUUUUGCUAUGUUGCAUCUCAACAAGGCAUCUGCUUGGCCCAAGGUUUUAAUCGGAUGGAAGAGCUUGAGGAAAAUCCAGAGGAUCCCUUCAAGUUCAAGGGAGUCAUGGCUUCAAACCUUUUAGGAGAUGGAUGCAAGUUUUCUUUAUCCACAAUUUGCCCAUGGUUUAAGAUCAAAAUUAGUUGGAGGGAAGUAAGGCCCUACUUACCCAAGCUUUCCCAUCUCAACCACUCAUGUAUUAGGCCAAAUAGAUGCUGAAAAUUCUUUUAUGGCUCUACUUUGUGGUUCACCAUUCUCGUUACAGUAUGAUUUUUAGAAUGUCUGAACACAAGCUUGGCAUGUCAUCUAGUGAUUCUACUAAUGCCAUUGGAAAUUAUGUUGUUGAUUUUAUGGAAAGUGGAACCCUCUAGAUUCUGGUGUGGGGUUCAUAACAAAAGAUUUGAUUAACUGUAACUUGCAAAGUUGGGUGAAUAAUUUUCCUGCAAAGAUAGCGUACUAGAUGUAAGAUCAUGAGCAUCAGAAGGAACUCAUACACCAACAAAAAGAGUAUAUGAAAU